rnacentral:lncRNA from 12 species
UGAAUUGUUUUCCUUAUUGGCUUCUGAAAAUCCUCUAGGCCGCCAGAAAACAGGCCCUCGUCCUUGAAAUUGGGUCAUUGCGGGUACACUUGGAUCCCCGUCCAACACAGAGCAGGGGAAACCGAAAUCAUUCAUUGCAAGGCGCCAGAGAGCUUCGGUGACGUCGGCCAGCAGGUGCCUGGGACUCCGGUGCUGCUGCUGAAAUCCCAUGUCAUCACCGGGAAACCACUGCUAAGUCGUCUUCCAUUUUGGCAGCUCACUUAGGACCUUCCCACAUCUGCUCCUCCACCAGGGACCCAGAUGGGGUCUUUCCAGAGGGACUCAGGGGCAGUCCCCGUGGCCCAAGCUUACACAUCCCUCAUGGAAGGUUUUCUGCCCUGUGUCGCGUGAUUCUGGGAACUGAAGAAGGUUGCUGUACCUUCAGAAAGAGGAGAGGCCAGAGGGGCCGUCCUUACUGACCUUUGAACAAGAGCAUCCAAUCUCUUCAUGCAGGAGCUGGCCUCUUUAUCUAGAUAUACUCUGUGUUUCUAUCAACUUUCUGGAAGUUUCUGGUAGUGGUGACUCUGUAGCCACUUUGCAAAGUGGUCAUUUUAUGCCACUCAUCAGCACAUAGAAUGGAAACUGUAAUACAUACAAUGAGGCCACCGUUUGGUUGGUAUUUUAUGUAUAGUCCUACUUUAUUACAUUACAUUAAAUGAUUCUAG